ensembl:lncRNA
CUUUGUUAUUGGCCCUUGGACGCCCCUGGCAUCUCGUGUACAGCACAAAGUUUUCAGCUAUGAAGGUAUAUUCUAGGCCUAUGUCUUAUUGUCCAGUGUUUUAACAGUAUUUAAAAUAUUGCCUUUGGUAGUUGUUUUUUUAUUUUUUUAUGUAGAUUUCCAGUGACUCCAGAAUGAAAACCAAGCUCUGAGGGAGGAGAACCAAGCCCUGAGGGAAUGCAAUGCACAAGCAGCUUCGGAUGACAGCGGCUCACUUCAAGAGCAGGUGAAGCAAGUAGGGACAAUGUUGAAGACGUUUGCUCUCACUGGGCAAUCAGGUGCGUUACCUGAAAGGAGCAUCUGACCGUGAAGGCAGAAAAAGCCGUACAGCUGAGAAGGACCCACAGCCGACCCCUUAAACCUAGGCUGACUACUGACACCCCAGCAUCACUGAACUGGAACACUUUCUUUAUCCUGCAGUCAGUAACAUCAAGAAGCCAGAAGUGCCAGACUACACACACCAAAUCCAC